rnacentral:rRNA from 1 species
GGUGAACGCUGGCGGCGUGCCUAACACAUGCAAGUCGAGCGAAGCACCUUACUUGAUUUCUUCGGGAUGAAAGUAUUGUGACUGAGCGGCGGACGGGUGAGUAACGCGUGGAUAACCUGCCUCAUACAGGGGGAUAACAGUUAGAAAUGACUGCUAAUACCGCAUGAGACCACAGCUCUGCAUGGAGCAGUGGCUAAAGGAGAAAUCCGGUGAAGGGUGGGCUCGCGUCCGAUUAGCUAGUUGGCAGGGUGAUAGCCUACCAAGGCGACGAUCGGUAGCCGACCUGAGAGGGUGAUCGGCCACAUUGGAACUGAGAUACGGUCCAA